rnacentral:lncRNA from 1 species
UAAAUCCUCUCCCACUUAAAUUUCCCCCUUCUAUCCACCGUGCUCAUCUCCUGAUUCCUUCUUUUUGAAAGAUCAGGAGAAACAAGCUAACUGAAAAUAACUAGGAGAAGUUGGGGAGGAGUCAUCCACUUGUAGAUUCCAUCUGAACUAAGAAAAAUGGAAUUAAAACAGGUCUUCCCUCUGUUGACCUGGCUGAAUGCAAAAUUCCCACCCCAAGAUAUGGUCCCUUCUCUCUGCUCCAGUCGCCCUCUUCACCCUCUUCCCUCAGCCCUAGAAAAACAAAUCCUACAGUGCACAAUUUGGGCCACAAAAAAGAUGAAGGUGGGAGGGGGAAUAAGAGCAUGGCAUCUACUCUAAGAGAACUAAAAAAGGAUAUUUUUUCUUCCUUUUCCACCUUCUUCCAUAUUCAACCUCAUGUAAACAGAUGGGUUUAACAGUGUGAUUCAGACGGCUGCAGAAUAGCAGAGAGAAUGCUGGAGCCAAAACUGAGCAUAUUCAGCCCCGGGGUUUUCAUUUCUCAGCCCUUAGGGCUCCUCUGGCAGUCUUCUAAGAACUAAAAUUUAUCCAAGUCCUCCAGCAACAACUUUACAGCACCACUGGCAAAGUAGUCAAUGACUCUGAUCAGGGCUAAUUGUUGCAUGAACGUCUCUGAUUGGCUGGAACGUGGUGACAGCUCACAUGACUUUAAACAUUAUUAUUCUUCACAUAAGAAACCAGUGUGAUACCAGGAAGUGUCAGUGCAGAGCGUGAAAUAGCCAAACUCAUCACAGUAUUCAAGGUUGUCACAAGACACAGGGUUUACUUCUGGCCUCUAUAACUCACAAAUACCCUGGAUGAACUUAAAGCAUCUCCAGAGGAGAGUCACAGUGGCCUCUCCGCCAAAUUGAAGAAAACAGCAAAGGGGAAACAGAGAAGGUGGACCUGAGAAAUAGCAAUAUGUUCAAGAACAAAUUUUUUUUAAGUGUACCACGAGACUAGGUGACAGGAAUAUCAGUCAUACAAUAACUUAUAUUUUCUUGAGUGAUUUUUUAAAGAUAGUCAACAUUCAAUUAUUCAAUACAUAUUUUGUUCUUCUUUGUUAGACACCGUGCUAAGUACUAGGGACACAGGACUAAUAAGAUAGGGUCCCUCCCCUCAAAGAGCUUACAGUCAUCAUUACAGGAUGGCAGACAGUUGAUGCAAUGUGGCCAUUCCUUUCCUGCCCCCUUCCCUCACUCAUGUCAGCCAUUAAUCAUGUGUUCCUUGCCACUGACCCAGGAUGUAACCUCAGGGUACAACACCCAAAUCAACCACUACCAGGCAGUCAGAGCUGCUAAUCCCAAAACUAUUCAGAUAGACAAAAAACCUGAUGUCUCCCUCCAUAAUUUUACAAUCAUUACUAUUAUGGCAGCUAAUGUUCUUUGAAAGCCCAUUAUAUGACAGACACUGUUCUAAGAGCUUUAUAGGCACUCCUAGCUCCUUCAAUCCCGUUUCUCUAAGUGGUUGGUUAACAGAAAUCUUAUGUGGUCCUCACUGAAGUCUCAUUUAAAGGAAAUGGGAAUAAACUCCAGUCUGAGGAAAUUAGAUGUCCUUCAGACAGAUUUUCCACAAGUGACGGAUGUUUCACAUUAGCGAUAACGAGAGAGCUGGUGAGAUCUUCUUCCCAGAAUGUCUUCAGAAUUAGGAUAGAUUCUCCCCCAGUUGUAAUGAGAAGUGCAAACCUGUCGGAAUGAAGAAGGACAAACCAGAUGACCUUUCUGUGUUCAUUUCCAAGAUUUUAUAAUUUGUGGUGCUCCAGA